GUUGGAAACGACUGCUAAUACCGCAUACGCCCUACGGGGGAAAGGAGGGGACCUUCGGGCCUUCCGCGAUUGGAUGAGUCUAGGUGGGAUUAGCUAGUUGGUGAGGUAAUGGCUCACCAAGGCGACGAUCCCUAGCUGGUCUGAGAGGAUGAUCAGCCACACUGGAACUGAGACACGGUCCAGACUCCUACGGGAGGCAGCAGUGGGGAAUAUUGCACAAUGGGCGAAAGCCUGAUGCAGCCAUGCCGCGUGUGUGAAGAAGGCCUUCGGGUUGUAAAGCACUUUCAGCGAGGAGGAAAGGUUACUGGCUAAUAUCCAGUAGCUGUGACGUUACUCGCAGAAGAAGCACCGGCUAACUUCGUGCCAGCAGCCGCGGUAAUACGAGGGGUGCAAGCGUUAAUCGGAAUUACUGGGCGUAAAGCGUACGCAGGCGGUUUGUUAAGCGAGAUGUGAAAGCCCCGGGCUCAACCUGGGAACUGCAUUUCGAACUGGCAAACUAGAGUCUUGUAGAGGGGGGUAGAAUUUCAGGUGUAGCGGUGAAAUGCGUAGAGAUCUGAAGGAAUACCGGUG
rnacentral:rRNA from 1 species